rnacentral:rRNA from 1 species
GAUGAACGCUGGCGGCGUGCCUAAUACAUGCAAGUCGAGCGAACAGACGAGGAGCUUGCUCCUCUGACGUUAGCGGCGGACGGGUGAGUAACACGUGGAUAACCUACCUAUAAGACUGGGAUAACUUCGGGAAACCGGAGCUAAUACCGGAUAAUAUAUUGAACCGCAUGGUUCAAUAGUGAAAGACGGUUUUGCUGUCACUUAUAGAUGGAUCCGCGCCGCAUUAGCUAGUUGGUAAGGUAACGGCUUACCAAGGCAACGAUGCGUAGCCGACCUGAGAGGGUGAUAGGCCACCUUGGAACUGGAACAGGGUCCAGACUCCCACGGGAGGCACAAGUAGGGAAUCUUCCGCAAGGGGCGAAACCCUGAGGGAGCACCGCCGCGUGAGUAACAAAGGUCUUGGGAUCGUAAAACUUUUUUAUUGGGAAAAAAAAAAUGUGUAAGUAACUAUGCCCGUCUGGACGGUACCUAAUAAAAAACCCACGGCUAACUACGUG